rnacentral:rRNA from 1 species
CCUGGUUGAUCCUGCCAGUAGCAUAUCCUUGUCCCAAAGAUUAAGCCAGGCACGUGUAAGUACAUACGGCCGGUACAGUGAAACUGCAAAUGACUCAUCAAAUCAGUUAUGGUUCCUUUGAUCGCUCUGAAUAACUGGUAAUUCUAGAUCUAAUACAAACUGAGGAGCCCUGACCUCCUGGGAUGCGUGCAUUUAUCCGACCAAGACCAAUCCAGGAACACCCGGCCACUUUGGUGACUCUAGAUGACCUCAGGCCAAUCACAUGUCCCUGUGACAGCGACUAUACAUUUGCGUGUCUGCCCUAUGAACCUUUAAUGGUACUUUCUGUGCCUAUCAUGGUGACCAUGGGUAACAGGGAAUCAGGGUUCGAUUGCCUGAGAAAUGGCUACCACAUCCAAGGAAGGCAGCAGGUGCAGAAAUUACCCACUCCCGACUCAGGGAGGUAGUGACAAAAAAUAAGAAUAGAGGACUCUUUUAGGCCCAGUAUUUGGAAUGAGUGCACUUUAAAUCAUUUAAUGAGGAUUAAUUGGAGGGCAAGUCUGGUGCCAGCUGCCGUGGUAAUUCCAGCUCCAAUAGCGUACGUUAAAGUUCCUGAAGUUAAAAAGCUCUUAAUUGGAUCUUGGGAUCAAGCUGGUGGUGUGCUGUGAAGCGAGCUACUGCUUGUCCCAGCCCCUGCCUCUCGGCACCCCUUGAUGCUCUUGACUGUGUGCCGUGGGGGUCCAAAGCAUUUACUUUGAAAAAAGUAGUGUUCAAAGCAGGUUGGUCACCUGAAUACUUCAGCUAGGUAUAAUGGAAUUGGACUCUGAUUCCAUUUUGUUGAUUUUCAUAACUGGGGUCAUGAUUGAGAGGGACAGCUGGGUGCCUUCAUAUUGUGCCGUUAGAGGUGAAAUUAUUGGGACCAAUGCAAGAUGAACUAAAGCAAAAGCAUUUGCCAAGUAUAUUUUCAUUAAUCAAGAACGAAAGUUGGAGGUUUGAAGACAAUCAAAUACAGUCGUAGUUCCGACCAUAAACGAUGCUGACUAGCGAUCCGACGGCGUUGUUCCCAUGACCUGCCAAGCAACGUCUGUGAAACCUAAGUCUUUGUGUUCAGGGGGGAGUAUGGUUGCAAAGCUGGAACUUAAAGGAAUUGAUGGAAGGGCACCACCAGGAGUGGAACCUGUGCCUUAAUUUGACUCAAAACAGAAAACCUCACCUGGCCCGGAUGACACAGAAAGAAUUGACAGAUGGAUAGCUCGAUCUUGAUUCUGUGGGUGGUGGUGCAUGGCCGUUCUUAGUUGGUGGAGCAAUUUGAUUAAUUCUGAUAAGAAACAAGACUCCUCCAUGCUCCAUGGGUCAGUCAGUCCGAGGUGAUGGGCGAGUGCCAUUCAGACGAGACGUGCAAUGGCCUCCGUUGCCCCCAGCCGAUCGAAGGGGAGUCGGGCUCAGAUCCCCAAACCCAGAGUGGCAGAGACAGGCACUCUCACAGCAUCCUGUGCAGUAAUGCAAGUGAUCCUGGAGAAGCCACUGGGAGCCCCGGAAAGAGAGUUCUCUUUUCUUUGUGAAGGGCAGGGUACCCUGGAAUGGUUCCGAGCACUGAGAAGGGCCCGAGCCUUGUAAAGAGUCGCGGUUCCGGCAGCGUCUUGUAAGCUCUUGCAGGUCCUUGAAAAUACAGCGUGAUGGUGUAAAUCUCGCAUCGGUCCCACUGAAUUAUUUACAAUAAGGUUGACUAAU